GGGAAUUCUACCACAAGCUGAGACUGAUAGAAAUAUUGUAAAGCCUUAUGGAAACCUGAAAGGCAAAGUGAUAGUUGUUACGGGAGCAUCUUCAGGCAUUGGUGAAGGUAUUAGUCGAACAUUGGCGCGAGCUGGUGCAAGAGUAGUUUUGGCUGCUAGAAGACUGGAUAGGUUUGCAGGCUAUAGUUGACUCACUGCGCAAAUCUGGUGCUGAGGCUACUCCAGUUCAACUAGACGUCUGCAAUGCAGAGCAGGUUUCUACUUGUAUGCAAGAGAUAGAAAGUAGAGUGGGACCAAUAGAUGUGCUGGUAAACAAUGCUGGAGUCAUGUUCUACCAGUUCAUGAAGAAAUGUGAUUUGGCGAGAUGGCAGCACAUGGUCAAUGUCAACAUU